AAAUACCCAUGAUGAUGUCAGAUUCAAAGUUUCACAAGAGACGAUUGGCUGUUUCUUUAAGCUAACAUACCUAAGUACAUUAACAGUAAUUUAGUGAAUUUUACUUCUUUUUUACGCUCAAUUUAUUAAUUAGUUAAAACUCAGCUAUGUUAAGGAAGGUGUAAGAAUUCUACCACGUGUGAUUUAGAAAAAUUUGCAUAAGCGUCGAGGCUGACUACGUCACAUCGGCGCUUGCAGCUGUGAUCAGAAUAAACAUGUGGACUUCAGUGAUAUAUCUCGGAAUUUAACUCGUUUACAACCAGCGUGGACAGAAAUCGGCAUAGGAUUUAACUGAACAAGGGUUACUUAGGCAGUAGAUGGUCAACUGAAAACACUUGUUGGGAUGUUGAUAAAAAGUAUUGGUUUUCUUAUCAACUGGACUAUCUCCUAAUAUCAAAAAGACAGAAGAGAAGAACAUGUAGUGCGCAAGAAGAAUUGUCAAUUUCCAUAAAUUCCAAAUUAUGACUGAAAAAUACUAAAAAUCAGAAAACACUAGUCUUGUUGAACAGUUUGUCACAGAAAAGCAAUGAUUAUUAAAAUAAAUUCUUGAUGAUAUUG
rnacentral:sRNA from 1 species